AUUGAACGCUGGCGGCAUGCUUUACACAUGCAAGUCGAGCGGCAGCGCGGGGGCAACCCUGGCGGCGAGCGGCGAACGGGUGAGUAAUGCAUCGGAACGUAUCCUCGAGUGGGGGAUAACCCAGCGAAAGUUGGGCUAAUACCGCAUGAGCUCUGAGGAGGAAAGCGGGGGGCCUGCGAGGGCCUCGCGCUGGAGGAGCGGCCGAUGUCCGAUUAGCUAGUUGGUGGGGUAACGGCUUACCAAGGCGACGAUCGGUAGCUGGUCUGAGAGGAUGAUCAGCCACACUGGGACUGAGACACGGCCCAGACUCCUACGGGAGGCAGCAGUGGGGAAUUUUGGACAAUGGGGGCAACCCUGAUCCAGCCAUGCCGCGUGAGUGAAGAAGGCCUUCGGGUUGUAAAGCUCUUUCGGACGGAACGAAAUGGGCGGGACUAAUACUCCUGUCUGAUGACGGUACCGUAAGAAGAAGCACCGGCUAACUACGUG
rnacentral:rRNA from 1 species